GACGAACGCUGGCGGCGUGCCUAAUACAUGCAAGUCGAGCGGACGGACGGGAGCUUGCUCCCAGACCGUCAGCGGCGGACGGGUGAGUAACACGUGGGCAACCUGCCUGUAAGACUGGGAUAACUCCGGGAAACCGGGGCUAAUACCGGAUAACUCUUUCCCUCACAUGAGGGAAAGCUGAAAGAUGGCAUCUCGCUAUCACUUACAGAUGGGCCCGCGGCGCAUUAGCUAGUUGGUGAGGUAACGGCUCACCAAGGCGACGAUGCGUAGCCGACCUGAGAGGGUGAUCGGCCACACUGGGACUGAGACACGGCCCAGACUCCUACGGGAGGCAGCAGUAGGGAAUCUUCCGCAAUGGACGAAAGUCUGACGGAGCAACGCCGCGUGAGUGAUGAAGGUUUUCGGAUCGUAAAACUCUGUUGUCAGGGAAGAACAAGUACCGGAGUAACUGCCGGUACCUUGACGGUACCUGACCAGAAAGCCACGGCUAACUACGUG
rnacentral:rRNA from 1 species